UGUAUUGUGCACACUACGCUGUAUUCCUGCGCAAAAGACAACUUUGACUUUGAUUUCAUUUGAUCUAGUUUACCAUAACCCUGUUCACUCUGUUGUUAUGAUGAAAAUAAGGUGUCAAGUUCUUAGGAGGCAUCUCACCAACAUCGGAUGUAAUGUUUAGCAAUGCAAUCUAAGAAACGCAAUGUCCUCAUUUCAGGAAGAGCUAAUGACGUCUGGCUACAGUUUUGCAGCUGUGAGCUGGAACCUGUCACCCUGAUCCGCUACAGACUCUGGCCUGCCACCCCCCAUCUGCCACAACAGCAAUUUCAGUGGACCUCCUGCACCAGUUUGCAGCCCUGCAGCUGGAGUGUGGGGUGUCUUUGAGGGGGAUUACCUUUCCAUAAAUCCAAUGCAUGCUGGAAGACAGUUGAGCUCUACCGGGAGCUCACAAAUGAGUCAUUUGAGGAGUUCAAACACUGGCAGUUUGAACGAGAGACUGUCAGGAAGUUGGCGCCACUGACCUCGGACGGAACAAAAUGUCCUCUCUGUCCACAGAUAUGUCAAUGAUAACAAUUAAGGAACAACUGUCCACAGGUAUGUCAAUGAUAACAAUUAAGGAACAACUAUAAAGUCUCAGUAAGCUAGGAUUCUUAUUUGCAUUCAGUGUUGUUCAUAAUUUAUAAGGGGAAAUAUAUCCAACCUCAGUUGUCUUUCUUAAAUAUAUUCUAUCAUUGCCUUGCCAAACAGUAGUAAUGUUAUGCGGCAGUACCAUUGCAAGCCUCUCAAAAACCCAACCCUUCGUCCAAGUCGUGGGAGGCGGAAACAGGUCAAGUAUGGGAUUGCCAGACAGGGCAAAGUUUUGUGGGUGGCUUUGCUACCAAGGCCGCUACGGUUGCCAUGAAGGCCUGUCUGGAUCCACAACAUGCUGGAUAACAGGGCUCUGGUAAAGCUAGGUGGACCAAUCAUCUGCUGAGUGGAUAGUACUGAUUACAGAUACAUUCACGAAUAAACUAUAGUGUAAAUGACCUAUGUUUCCCAAAGAGCACAAGGGUUUAAGUAAUACCCUUGCAAAUGUCCAUUCCCUGUAUCCCUAAUAAUUUAAUUUAAUUAUUUGCAUUAUUAUUUUAAAGGAAAACAGUCAUCAAAUUAUUGCAGCUGAUGCCCUAUUUGGGCUUCCCAGAAAUAGAUUGUCUGGGACCAGCAUUGAGGGUCCCAAACAUGCUGGGCGGUUCUUUUGUGAUCAAGACAAAGUUGACUGCUUUGUAGGAGGAGCAUCAGACACACCAACUGAGGGGUACCCGGGAUUUCAAGCCAGGGAUGCGCUGCGAUCCAAACACAAAACCCAGAAACUGGACAUAACUGGUGUGUUUGGGAUGGCGUGCAGGCACGAGCAUCCGCUGAAGUUCCUGAACCUGAAGAGAGGAGAGAAGCUUGCAAAUGCUGUGUUCCUGCUGGGGGACCUGAAAGCAAUGCAGGGACCAAACAUCACAACGUUUCUUCACUAUGACUUUGCAUGCCAGCUGAAGCCUCAUUUACAGCACCAGCAAUACAACUCCGUCGGCAGAAGGUCCUGAAGGAGGAAACCGAGGCAAAGGAGGAGUUGAUGGUGCUGCUAAACAGCAUUCCAGGCAGCACACAGUUGGACGUGGAAGUUUGGACCCGUCAGAUAAAGGAGACCCUCACAGACGAGGACGUUGUUCCUUACCUGGCAGGAGAGAUACGUGGAAACUCUCGCAGAGCAACAUCGAGUCGCCCUGGAGAAAAGGUUGAAGGCCAUGGAGUAGAGAAACCGGAUUGUACGCUGGUCUCUUCAACACUGCAGCAAUUUUGGAAAGUCUGCAGACUAAGAAGACUCACUGUCUGCUGGCCACAAUCCAUAGGCUUGUCUUGGAGCGCUCUUUCUAUUGUGGCCUGGUCAGAAAGUAUGCAGAUACUGCAGCCAAUUCAGUGUUGUUGAACACUGCAUCACACCCUUGCAUAUCACUGCUGUUGUUAUAUGGACAAACCAUUGCUGUGCAUCUCUACAGAAAAAUCAUGCGGACAUCGGAGAGAAUAAAACAGCAUAUCAACGCCUAUAAUGGAAGGAACAAGUCACCUCAAUUCCCGCCAAGACUGGAGUAUGUGGAUGUUCUCCAGCAAGACCAUCCAGUCUGGUCCCAGGUGUCAGACAGCUUGGGGGACAGUCUGCUCCGGGCAAAGCAGCGUGCAGUGAUGCUGCUGUUGGGAUUUGUUUUCUCAUAAUUUGAUCUGUAUGUGUUGAAUAGCUUAGAAGGAAUGCAUUAAUGAUAAGCA